rnacentral:rRNA from 1 species
UACGGAGGGUGCAAGCGUUGUCCGGAAUCACUGGGCGUAAAGGGCGCGUAGGCGGCUCGGUAAGUAGGGGGUGAAAUCCUGCGGCUUAACCGCAGGGCUGCCUUCUAAACUGUCGAGCUCGAGCACGGUAGAGGCAGAUGGAAUUCCCGGUGUAGCGGUGGAAUGCGCAGAUAUCAGGAGGAACACCAAUGGCGAAGGCAGCACUCUGGGACGGUACUGACGCUGAGACGCGAAAGCGUGGGGAGCAAACAGG